rnacentral:rRNA from 1 species
GUAGGGAAUAUUGCACAAUGGGCGAAAGCCUGAUGCAGCAACGCCGCGUGCGCGAUGAAGGCCUUCGGGUUGUAAAGCGCUUUUCUGGAGGACGAGUAAGGACGGUACUUCAGGAAUAAGGAUCGGCUAACUACGUGCCAGCAGCCGCGGUAAUACGUAGGAUCCGAGCGUUAUCCGAAUUUACUGGGCGUAAAGCGCGUGCAGGCGGUUUGGCAAGUUGGAUGUGAAAGCUCCUGGCUCAACUGGGAGAGGCCGUUCAAGACUGCCAGACUAGAGGGCGACAGAGGGAGGUGGAAUUCCCGGUGUAGUAGUGAAAUGCGUAGAUAUCGGGAGGAACACCAGUGGCGAAGGCGGCCUCCUGGGUCGUUCCUGACGCUCAGACGCGAAAGCUAGGGGAGCGAACGGGAUUAGAAACCCUAGUAGUCC